GAUGAACGCUGGCGGCGUGCCUAAUACAUGCAAGUCGAGCGAACGGACGAGAAGCUUGCUUCUCUGAUGUUAGCGGCGGACGGGUGAGUAACACGUGGAUAACCUACCUAUAAGACUGGGAUAACUUCGGGAAACCGGAGCUAAUACCGGAUGAUAUUUUGAACCGCAUGGUUCAAAAGUGAAAGACGGUCUUGCUGUCACUUAUAGAUGGAUCCGCGCUGCAUUAGCUAGUUGGUAAGGUAACGGCUUACCAAGGCAACGAUGCAUAGCCGACCUGAGAGGGGUGACGGACGCAGUGGUACUGAGAUACGGCGCAGACGGGUGCGGCAGGCAGCAGUGGGGAAGAUAGGACGGUGGGCGGAAGCCUGAUGCAGCGACGCAGCGUGGGGGAUGUCGGCCUUCGGGUUGUAAACUACUUUCGACCGCGAGGAAGCCACCUGGUUGGAAGGGUGGUGACGGUAGUGGUAGAAGAAGCACCGGCUAACUACGUG
rnacentral:rRNA from 1 species